rnacentral:lncRNA from 1 species
UGACACACAUAGAAUUAGAUUUGAUUGGUAAAUCGAAUCCGAAGUCAGUAGAGGCGCCAUUGAGGAGAUCUGAUAGAGUACCACAUCAAUCGGAUAAAUACUAUGAUUUCUUAGUCCAGGAUGGUGAUCCUAUUGAACUUGAUGAAAAUGAUGAGGAUCUGAUCACCUAUAUGGGGCAUGAAAAGGUCCGACUCUCAGAAAUGGCUUGAGGCCAUGAAGUCCGAGAUAGAGUCCAUGGAGAUCAAUGGUGUACGGACACUAGUUGAUCCGUCUGAAGAGAUAAAACUCAUAGGAUGUAAAUAGAUUUUCAAGAAGAAAAGAGGAGCGGACA